UGGGUAUCAAAUGAAAGGGCUCAACAAGCAGAAUACAAUAUACUAUAAGAAAUUGAAAUCCAAGAUGGCGGCCGCUACAAAAUGGCGGAUAACGUAGGUUUUAUCAAUCCCAUCAAUAUGGGUAUCAAAUGAAAGGGCUCAACAAGCAGAAUACAACAUACUAUAAAAAAUUGAAAUACAAGAUGGCGGCCGCUACAAAAUGGCGGAUAACGUAGGUUUUAUCGAUCCCAUCAAUAUGGGUAUCAAAUGAAAGUGCUCAACCAGUAUAAUCAAUGUACUAUAUAAAAUUAAAAUCCAAGAUGGCGGCCUCUACAAAAUGGCGGAUAACUUAGGUUUUAUCAAUCCCAUCAAUAUGGGUAUCAAAUGAAAGUGCUCAACCAGUAUAAUCAAUGUACUAUAUAAAAUUAAAAUCCAAGAUGGCGGCCUCUACAAAAUGGCGGAUAACUUAGGUUUUAUCAAUCCCAUCAACAUGGGUA
rnacentral:misc_RNA from 1 species